CAUGAAGGCCAAAAGCAGACUGGUGAGGUAAACACUGUUCAGAUGGAGCAAAUGAGAGAGAUGCUGGAGAGGGAGUGGAGCAGAUGGGAAAUUGGAAUCACAGAGAGAUGCCAGCACAUGCUAUCAGACAAUCAGAUGUGUCAUCUGAAGCUGAUGUGCAUGACCUGGAACACUCAUUCAGAAAGGUCGUCAGUUGGAUGCAUAAUCUGACAUCAGGACAGAUGAGAUGAGGACUUAGAAACUGAGGAAAUGGUUU